rnacentral:rRNA from 1 species
AGGAUGAACGCUGGCGGCGUGCUUAACACAUGCAAGUCGAACGAGGUCCAUGGAGCUUGCUCCGGAAGACCUAGUGGCGAACGGGUGCGUAACACGUGAGAAACCUGCCCCGAUCUCUGGGAUAACAGUUGGAAACGACUGCUAACACUGGAUGCCGUCACACCGCUUCAUGGCGGAGUGACGAAAGAUUCAUCGGAUCGGGAGGUCUCGCGCCUAUCAGCUAGUGAGAGGUAACGCUCACCAAGGCAUCGACGGUAGCUGGUCUGGAGAGGAUAGAUCAGCCACACGUGGGACUGAGACACGGCCCAGACUCCGUAGGGAGGCAGCGAGGUAGGGGAAUCGUUAGC